AGCUUUGCUCAGUGGCAGUGGCCAUGAGGUUUAUCUGAGGUGCGAUUAUUGCUAAUUGAAAACUUUUCCCAGUACCCCACUGUGACGACUUGAAAUACAGUCCGCAUUGGCAACUUUUGACAGUUUUUAUGGAGA